UACGGGGGGGGCGAGCGUUGUUCGGAAUUACUGGGCGUAAAGGGCGCGUAGGCGGUUCGCUAAGUCGGAUGUGAAAACUCUGGGCUCAACCCAGAGCCUGCAUCCGAAACUGGCGGGCUAGAGUUCUGGAGGGGAUAGCGGAAUUCCUGGUGUAGCGGUGAAAUGCGUAGAUAUCAGGAGGAACACCGGUGGCGAAGGCGGCUAUCUGGACAGAAACUGACGCUGAGGCGCGAAAGCUAGGGGAGCAAACAGG
rnacentral:rRNA from 1 species